AUGAUCUGGAUCGUGAUCUAUAACGUGAGAUGGGCGCUGCCAUGUUUGUUCGCGCUGCCGUUCAGAGAGUCCUGUCAGCCGGAUUUACAGCACAUAAAUUCACCAGCUUCUCCCGAAAUACAUGCAAGUAUUGACUGUCAGGUUGUGCUCACACAGUCUGAACAGUCAGAAGUUGUGGCUCCAGGUGGUUCAUACAAACUGACCUGUGCCUGCAGUGGGUUUACUGUUAGUAGCACUCACAUGCACUGGAUCCGUCAGGCACCUGGAAAAGGACUUGAAUGGAUUAUUUAUUAUUAUUCAGAUUCUUAUAAGAGCUCAGCUCAGUCAGUGCAGGGCAGAUUCACAGCAUCUAAGGACAGCUCUAAUCUCUAUCUGCACAUGAAUCAGCUGAAGACUGAAGACACUGCUGUGUAUCACUGUGCAUGA